UACAGAGGGGGCAAGCGUUGUUCGGAAUUACUGGGCGUAAAGGGCGCGUAGGCGGCCUUCUAAGUCGAACGUGAAAUCCCCGGGCUCAACCCGGGAACUGCGUCCGAGACUGGAAGGCUUGAAUCCGGGAGAGGGAUGUGGAAUUCCAGGUGUAGCGGUGAAAUACGUAGAGAUUGGGAAGAACACCAGUGGCGAAGGCGGCUAUCUGGACGGUUUCUGACGCUAAGACGCGAAAGCGUGGGGAGCAAACAGG
rnacentral:rRNA from 1 species